rnacentral:rRNA from 1 species
GAAAGAUUUAUCGCUUUAAGAUUGGCCCGCGGAAGAUUAGGUAGUUGGUGGGGUAAAGGCCUACCAAGCCGACGAUCUAUAGCUGGUCUGAGAGGACGAACAGCCACAUUGGAACUGAGACACGGUCCAGACUCCUACGGGAGGCAGCAGUGAGGAAUAUUGGGCAAUGGAGGAAACUCUGACCCAGCCAUGCCGCGUGAGUGAAGAAGGUUUUCGAAUUGUAAAGCUCUUUCGGAUGUGAAGAUGAUGACGGUAACAUCUAAAGAAGCCCCGGCAAACUUCGUGCCAGCAGCCGCGGUAAUACGAAGGGGGCAAGCGUUGUUCGGAAUUACUGGGCGUAAAGGGUGUGUAGGCGGGAAAGUAAGAUAGUGGUGAAAUGCCUGAGCUCAACUUGGGAACUGCCAUUAUAACUAUUUUUCUAGAGUGACAGAGAGGAUAUUGGAAUACCCAGUGUAGAGGUGAAAUUCGUAGAUAUUGGGUAGAACACCGGAGGCGAAGGCGAGUAUCUGGCUGUCAACUGACGCUGAGGCACGAAAGCAUGGGGAUCAAACAGGAUUAGAUACCCUGGUAGUCCAUG